GUGACACUUCAGCGUUCAGCUGACUCGGGUGGCCGUGCAGCCCAGUGCCCAGGAGACUCCUCAGCAAAGCUAAGUGAGAAAUGGGGGCCUUGACAAGAGUCCAAUAACAAGAAGAAAUAGCAUUAUGCUUUUGAUUAAAUUUACUCUUGCAGGACAGUUAAACUGUCUCCGGAUUUAUAGCCUGACUCCUAGCUCCGAUGGAGUCAUCCUCAGAAUCUCCAUCAUGAUGGGUCUUAAGCUUCUCAGAGACAAAUAUCAUGUUUCAGGGUUUAGGGCGAAGUAGCAGCAAACGUCUCCCAUCCCUAAAGCUGGUGAGCCCAAUUUAUGAGCUGGUGAUGGUAGCCGAAGGAAACCCCGAGGACACGUUGAGAAAUGGCUCAUCUAGUUCAUUCAGAUGAUUCUGGAGGCCGUGUUCUGGGGACACACUGACAGAGGGCGAGUGUGCUGACAUUUUGCACAGACUCUCCUGAUCUCAUUACACAUCGUUUCUCUUCUUCACUUUCUUAAGUCACGCCAACUGCAAAUCCAAUUGCUGGGUGUUCUCAGAGAGAUAAUGGCACAGCGUUUGAUGUGUUGGAGGCCUGGAAAACUGAACAGUUGUCGCUGUAGGAACCACAGGAGAAGAUGUGAGAGAUGGGGAGGUACCCAAGCCAAUGGUGUGUGCACUGUGCUGCAUACGAGCAGCCUGCCCAUAGACCCCUCGUGGCCAUGCCUUAGUCUUAGAGCAGAUGCUCUUAGCCUCCCCUGAGGACUGUAACAGCAUGGUGCUCUCUGAGUAUCUAUGGGUCUCUUAAGAGCCAAGAGGUGUACUGACAUUUAAGUAAGUCUCUAAGAGUCCCACAAAUCCACACUUAUACCCACUUCAGGGGCUAGAAAUUCCACCCAGAGACUGACAAGCUAGAGCAACUGCAAAAACUAACCUGGAUCCCGCCCUAUUGUUUCAAAAGAGUUUGGACGCUGGAAACAUGAAGAAGUAGACAAAUAUUUAAAUAAGAGAAGAAAAUGGCUGGAAAGAUGGCUUAGUGGGAAAAGGUGAUUCCUGUGAAGCUUGAUCAAACCUGAAUUCGAUUCCUGGAACCUAUAUGCCAGAAGGAGAGAACCAAAUCCCACAAGUUGCCCUCUGACCUUUGCAUGUAAGCCAUGGCAUGUGAAUGCAUGCACAUGUCUAUACAUAAAUGUGAUAAAAAUAAAAAAUAAAGAGAAGGCGUGAUUGGCUAA